UGGACAACAGGUAGAGAUUCCUGUACCAGUGCUAAUUGUUUAACCGAUGGGGUGACACAGAAGGAUAGGGAAUCGCACGAAUGGAAAUGUGCGUCCAAGCAGUGAGUGUGAGAAGUAGGCAAAUCCGCUUCUCGCGAAGCAUGAGCUGUGAUGGGGAAGGAAAUUAAGUACGGAAGUUCCUGAUUUCACGCUGUCAAGAAAAGCCUCUAGGAAGAGUAGUACUGCCCGUACCGCAAACCGACACAGGUAGAUGAGGAGAGAAUCCUAAGGUGAGCGAGAGAACUCUCGUUAAGGAACUCGGCAAAAUGACCCCGUAACUUCGGGAGAAGGGGUGCUCUAUUAGGGUGCAAGCCCGAGAGAGCCGCAGUGAAUAGGCCCAGGCGACUGUUUAGCAAAAACACAGGUCUCUGCAAAACCGUAAGGUGACGUAUAGGGGCUGACGCCUGCCCGGUGCUGGAAGGUUAAGAGGAGUGCUUAGCUUCGGCGAAGGUACGAAUUGAAGCCCCAGUAAACGGCGGCCGUAACUAUAACGGUCCUAAGGUAGCGAAAUUCCUUGUCGGGUAAGUUCCGACCCGCACGAAAGGCGCAACGAUCUGGGCACUGUCUCAACGAGAGACUCGGUGAAAUUAUAGUACCUGUGAAGAUGCAGGUUACCCGCGACAGGACGGAAAGACCCCGUGGAGCUUUACUGCAACCUGAUAUGGAAUGUUUGUACCGCUUGUACAGGAUAGGUAGGAGCCGAAGAGACGUGUGCGCUAGCAUACGAGGAGGCAAUGGUGGGAUACUACCCUGGCUGUAUGACCAUUCUAACCCGCCACGCUUAGCGCGUGGGGAGACAGUGUCAGGUGGGCAGUUUGACUGGGGCGGUCGCCUCCUAAAGAGUAACGGAGGCGCCCAAAGGUUCCCUCAGAAUGGAUGGAAAUCAUUCGCAGAGUGUAAAGGCACAAGGGAGCUUGACUGCGAGACUGACAAGUCGAGCAGGGACGAAAGUCGGGCUUAGUGAUCCGGUGGUUCCGCAUGGAAGGGCCAUCGCUCAACGGAUAAAAGCUACCCCGGGGAUAACAGGCUUAUCUCCCCCAAGAGUCCACAUCGACGGGGAGGUUUGGCACCUCGAUGUCGGCUCGUCGCAUCCUGGGGCUG
rnacentral:rRNA from 1 species